rnacentral:ncRNA from 8 species
CCACACGUGGUUCAUUCAUACCAUCCCACGUAAAAAAACUAGGAGGAA